rnacentral:rRNA from 1 species
CAAGUCAAGGGGGCCCGCAAGGGCAACCGGCAGACGAGGUAGUAAUAAGUAGGUACGAACUUUCGAGUCAUGAAUAGCUCGUCGAAAGACGGGGUAAUACAUGAUGGUCCCUCCGGGGUAAAGAUUUAUCGCUCGAAAAUCGGCCUGCUCGGUAUCAGCUAGUUGGUAAGGUAAUGGCUUACCAAGGCAAUGACGCCUAGGGGACCUGAGAGGGUGACCCCCACCGAUGGGACUGAGACACGGCCCAUACACCUACGGGUGGCUGCAGUCGAGAAUCUUCCGCAAUGGACGAAAGUCUGACGGAGCGACGCCGCGUGCAGGAUGAAGUUCUUCGGGAUGUAAACUGCUUUUAUAGGGGAGGAAGUUUAUUGACGUUACCCUACGAAUAAGAGGUUGCUAAACUCGUGCCAGCAGCAGCGGUAAUACGAGUGCCUCAAGCGUUAUCCGGAAUCAGUGGGCGUAAAGGGUGUGUAGGUGGUUGUAUUAGUCUCGCGUUAAAUUCUUCGGCUUAACCGGGGGCAUGCGCGGGAAACGGUAUGACUAGAGGAUGCAAGAGGUCUGCGGAACUCAUAGUGUAGCGGUGAAAUGCGUUGAUAUUAUGGGGAACACCAAAAGCGAAGGCAGCAGACUGGGGCACUCCUGACACUGAAACACGAAAGCGUGGGUAGCGAAUGGGAUUAGAUACCCCAGUAGUCCACGCCCUAAACGAUCUUCUCUAGCUAUUUCGAGUAUCGACCCUCGGAGUGGCGUAGCUAACGCGUUAAGAGAAGCGCCUGGGUAGUACGACCGCAAGGUUAAAACUCAAAGGAAUAGACGGGGACUCGCACAAGCAGAGGAUCAUGUGGUUUAAUUCGAUGGUAAACGAAGAACCUUAC